UUUUCUCUAAUUUUUUUAAGUUUCCAAAUCUUCGAACAAAUUGACGCCGGUUUCCGUUUUCGUUUCCUAUCACCCCCCUUCUGUAUUUAUCAAACCCAACAACAAUAUUAUUAAAACCCAACCCUAGUCAUAGCCUCUCUUUGCUAUUGUUUCAAUCUCCGCACAAUCACUCGCCGCACCACCUUCGUUGUAGGGAAGCACCGCUACUCGGAGCCACCAUUCCGAGUCGUCUAAAACCUGCCUCCGUAGUUAUUCAUUGCCAAGCACAUCCCUUGCCGCUGCCUUCUGUCACUGUUCGACACGACAACUAUUGAAGCAACCUUUGUUUUGUGGACGUCCCCUUCAGUACCGACCACCAGAGGCGCCGCCAUCGUCGACUUAUUGCCGUCUUUUCUUCGCAAAUCAGCCAGCACAAACUCGCUCUAUUCGAUAAUCGCCACCGCUGUUUUGAUCCUCGCUUCGAUUUGUCCAGCAAUUGAGGUUUGCAUAAGUUUUGAAGAGGAUCUUAUUUGUGGAUAACUCUUUUGAUUGCUAAAUUAAGGUAAUCCGGGAAAUGUUGGGAACUAGUGAUGAUGAGAGUAAAUGUAAUCCGGGAAAUGUUGGGAACUAGUGAUGAUGAGAGUAAAUGUAGUUCAAGAAUAAAGACUUUUAUUUAUUUAAGUAUUUUGAAUUAAUUAGUACUUAGGAUUCUUGGUUUGUUUUCGAAACUUUUGGUUGUCUUUUGGAUCCUACGUUUCCUCUUUAAACGGAUUGUGUUUGGUUUUUGAUAUCUGUAAUAGUGACACGUCAGCCCUAUUCGGGUCGGGGUGUUACAGCACAACCCAUUUGGUCUUUUGUCAUGGUCAAGUUCAAACUAAUAGCAUGACGGGUAUUUAGCGGGUGGUUAUUUGGGAAUAAUUUGCCUAAGGAACUAGCAUUUUAUGCAUAUCACAUACCAUACCCUUAUACGUGAGGUUUUGAGCCACUUUUACAUCAUAGAUUUACAUAUACAUGUUUCUUUGUUUGAGUGGACCAUUAGUUGCGUAUUGUAGAACUUGCAACUUUUGAUACGUUCAAGACCAUAGACCGAAUACAAGCACGAGAAUGAUUAAGGCAUUAGGUAAACCUUUUCCUUUUACGCCAUUUUUAUAUCCUUACCUAAAAAUUAUCCCCUAGUAGCCAAUUUUGAGCCUAAUCCUUUCGUUUGACCACCCUUUAGCCCAUAACCUUAAAACCUUUUUCUUUUAAACCUGUGUGAUGGAAAUUCGAUUAUAGGAAUCAAGUUUAUAUAUUCGUGGUUUGUUUGUUUGCAUAUAAAAAAAAAUAGAAAAUCAUUGAGAAAAGAACAAAAAUAUAUGUUCUUAGUUUGAGAAAUAAAAGGCGAAAACUUGUUACCUUCUAGUUUGAUUUUGUUAGUUAGUUAUGCAUAGAAUAAUUGCUUUGUAAUAAAAUCGAAUUUUCAUCACCUUAGCCACUUUAAAAUACCCUAUUUCCAACCCUUAGCCUAGCCCCGUUACAACCCGUUCAAAGACCCUAUGACUUGUGCUUAGUAUUCGUGUUCAGUGGUGGAGAAUGAUUGAGUUGCAAGCCUAUGCAGGUACGUGUUCUAAUCGGUUUUGAGCGUUUAGUUGUUGAAGUGCUAAUACAUUAUGAAAAUUAGCCAAUUUAUAAACCGAGUGGAGAGAACAUUGUGAGGGAUGUGGAUGAAUUGUUGGUUUCACGGGCAUGUUAUUCUUAGAUAACUAUUUUAUAUGUGAAUACUCACUUUACCGUUAAAUAUGUUGAAAAUUGUAAAGAGUUUGAACUUUAGUAUGACAAUUGACCUUAACCUUUGUCUCGGGAAUGGGGAGUGUAUUCAUUGUUCGACCCACGUGAAAGUGAAAAACAGAUUUGCUUGAGGGCAAGCAAAAGACAAGUGUGGGGAUGUGAUUCGUGGUCGAAUAAUGGUGCUUGUAUAUGUUUAAGUUCGGGUUUUUACUCGACUUUUAAUCUUGAAAAACCUACUUUUAAUUAGAUUUGUGUUUUGCAGGUUUAACGAAGUUUAAGGUGCUUUUCGGGAGCUUUACGAGCCAUCGGGAUGAAAAACGGACAAUCGGGACGCGUUACGGAUCAAAUGGGAGUGCAAAAUGGAAAAUUGGAGAUUUGAAGUUGGAGAGGCCGUCGCCGACGGGCUCUAGGCCGUCCGGGACGGGGUCUGGGCCGUCGGCGAAGGGCUCCCGUUUGUUCAAUCGCGAAACUUGUGUUUUCUUGAUAUUUUGACGAGUUGAAACGGUUCCGGGGGCCAUUAUUUGAGAGUUACGAGUCAUGGAGGUUAUAAACAUCAUCUAAUCAUCAUCUAAGAGACACACCUACCUCUCUAAUCCACACCUAACAUCUUUCUUUUACCUCUAACAUCAAAACCCUAACCAAUUCUCCAUAAUCCCUAACCUUCAAUCAUUCCACCAUCACCACCACCAUCUUCAACCUUCCAUCAUCACCUUCAACCCUAACCUCCACCACUCUUGAAGACUCAAGGUCAUGGCUCCGUGUUCGUGAUCGUUGGCCGGUGAUCGCGUCCACCCAACCAUGAGCGGCUAGUCUCUUCGGUUUCACCCCGGUGUAGGUAGUUGUAUUUUCUAGGGUUUAUGCAUUUGUUCUUUGAUUCGACUUUGUGACAACUUGUAUUGAUUUUUGAAACCAUUGACAAUAGUUUACAUUUGUUUCGUAUUCGUAAAUUGUCGAACAAUAUUAAAAGUUAUGACUU
rnacentral:lncRNA from 1 species